ACUGUACCGCAGGAGUCAGCUGUGAAGGACAAAUCUGAGCAAGAACAAUCAGCUGACUGAUGGUUAGAAAAUUAGCCCACGGAACUCUCUAUUUUGCACUCUCUUUCUCUCUCUCCUCUUGUUAAACUGGACUUUAGAGUCUGAGCAUGCAGCAUUCUGUAAGUCUGACCUUCCAGAGCCACCCGUAGUAUAUAGAGGGAAGAACUGUAUAAGCAGGUUAUGGAAAUGUGCGAUUAACCCUUGUCAAGACAGCCAACCAAAUUAAUGUUUGCUGGGUUUCUCAUAAAUAACUGGUAAGUCUGAUUCACUUAAAUAUUUAUUCUCUCUGCAUACAGUAGGCACUUAGAAAAACAUUGUUGUCUCAGAAAUUCUAUAUGCUUUUUUCUUUUCUUCAAGAUUGUGGCAAUAUAAUAGCAGGCAUAUCUUAUCCUUGAAAGAAAAUCUGUUCCUCCAAAAACCAGAACUGUAUUUAUAGGUCUAAAGGCCUGACACACAACUUGACCUGGUAAAGGCACUCCUCAAGCAAGCUACAUACCUACGACUGGUUAUCCCUCCUUAUUAUAAGACAGAUAGACACCAAGCUCUUAAGACGCAGGUAGGAAUAAACAAGGCUUUCUGUGUUUUUCCCGUGUGAUCUCACAUGGCAGUAGCCUACCCUGCUUGUGACCAUCAGCAGAGUGGAGAAAAUACCUAGGUCCUAGGCUUAGAAAUGAAUCCCAGACACCGGGUAGUAGUCAGUGAUUAACAAGAGGCACGUUUGACAGAAGCUGGGGAAAAAAAGCUAUUGAGAAAUGCAUCUGCAUUACAAGAGGGAAUUUUGGGUGCUAUUCCUGAAUCCCGUUAAACUUCCUGUAGUUCUAUAUUACCCACAGGCUUGUUCUGUGGAAAACUAAUAAUGCAGAUCUUUACAUUUCACUAAUUAUUUGCUAGAAAGCGGGAUGGUCUUUCUGUCAUACUCCUCUUAUGACUCCAAGGCUGUUUCAGGAAGCACUGUCACAUUAAUGCUAGGCACAGCCAAUGCCGUGGUUCCUUGCAAUUGGCCUGAAGGGUAAAAGCUGCAGAUAUUCUUCUUCUGCUCCAAACUCUGUUUUUGGAUCUUCAGUGAACAUUGGGAGUACCUGUACAUGAUUUACCAAGCAGCCGCAACACUGGUAUGUUAUGACUAUAGGCAACUACAGUUUGCUA